rnacentral:rRNA from 2 species
GUCGAACGAGCUCUCCCAAAUUGAUUUUAUGCUUGCAUAAAUGAUUUUUGGAUUCGGAGCGAGUGGCGAACUGGUGAGUAACACGUGGGUAACCUGCCCCGAAGCGGGGGAUAACAUUUGGAAACAAGUGCUAAUACCGCAUAAUUAGUUGGAACCGCAUGGUUCCAACUUGAAAGAUGGCUCUGCUAUCACUUUGGGAUGGACCCGCGCCGUAUUAGUUAGUUGGUGAGAUAAAAGCCCACCAAGACGAUGAUACGUAGCCGACCUGAGAGGGUAAUCGGCCACAUUGGGACUGAGACACGGCCCAGACUCCUACGGGAGGCAGCAGUAGGGAAUCUUCCACAAUGGACGAAAGUCUGAUGGAGCAACGCCGCGUGAGUGAUGAAGGUUUUCGGAUCGUAAAACUCUGUUGUUAAAGAAGAACAAGUGUUAGAGUAACUGUUAACACUUUGACGGUAUUUAACCAGAAAGCCACGGCUAACUACGUGCCAGCAGCCGCGGUAAUACGUAGGUGGCAAGCGUUGUCCGGAUUUAUUGGGCGUAAAGCGAGCGCAGGCGGUUUUGUAAGUCUGCUGUGAAAGCCCUCAGCUCAACUGAGGAAGUGCAGUGGAAACUACAAAACUUGAGUACAGAAGAGGAAAGUGGAACUCCAUGUGUAGCGGUGAAAUGCGUAGAUAUAUGGAAGAACACCAGUGGCGAAGGCGGCUUUCUGGUCUGUUACUGACGCUGAGGCUCGAAAGCAUGGGUAGCGAACAGGAU